AUUAAACGCUGGCGGCAUGCCUUACACAUGCAAGUCGAACGGCAGCACGGGGGCAACCCUGGUGGCGAGUGGCGAACGGGUGAGUAAAGCAUCGGAACGUGCCCUGGAGUGGGGGAUAACGUAGCGAAAGUUACGCUAAUACCGCAUAUUCUGUGAGCAGGAAAGCAGGGGAUCGCAAGACCUUGCGCUCUGGGAGCGGCCGAUGUCGGAUUAGCUAGUUGGUGGGUAAAGGCCUACCAAGGCGACGAUCCGUAGCGGGUCUGAGAGGAUGAUCCGCCACACUGGAACUGAGACACGGUCCAGACUCCUACGGGAGGCAGCAGUGGGGAAUUUUGGACAAUGGGCGCAAGCCUGAUCCAGCCAUGCCGCGUGAGUGAAGAAGGCCUUCGGGUUGGUUAAAGGACUC
rnacentral:rRNA from 1 species